rnacentral:tRNA from 1 species
UCCUAGGUGGCUCAAUGGUAAAGAAUCUGCCUGCAAUGCAGGAGACUCAGGUUCAGUUCCUGGGUCAGGAA